GUUUUCAUUACAAAAAGAAAGAGUUAAAACGGAGAAAGAGCCUCAAAUUAAGCUAAAAGAGCCAAAUUAUAAAAAGAAUUUUCAGUCAUAUAGAAUGAUAAUUCAGUAUAAUAAUAUGUUUGUAAGCAUAAGAACUUUUGAAAGCUUCCGCUGUAAUAAAUAACAUGUUAUGUAAUUCUCCAUGUGCUCUUUCAUCUAAUCGGUCAUACCAUUAUGAACAUGCAAUUAGCAUCUAAACUACCUGCCUACUUUGUAUAGCCUGCCAAGUCAGCUUAGUGUGUUAGGUAGCUAAGACUCCGUGUCCUCCUUGUCUAAGCCAAACGACCCAACUCGACAAGGCGUUGUCGCAAUCUUCCCGCUAAGCGGUAGUGGAAAUUUUUCUUCCGCACUGGCGGUCGGAUUGUCUGCGAGCAAAUCCUGACAAGGAACAAUGGGGGUUUACGAGUUUAGGGAGCCGACCGCCCCGCUGGUGAACAAAACCGGGUGUAAUUAAGUUACAAU